rnacentral:rRNA from 1 species
UACGUAGGUGGCGAGCGUUGUCCGGAUUUACUGGGCGUAAAGGGAGCGUAGGCGGACUUUUAAGUGAGAUGUGAAAUACUCGGGCUCAACUUGAGUGCAGGAGAGGAGAGUGGAAUUCCUAGUGUAGCGGUGAAAUGCGUAGAUAUUAGGAGGAACACCAGUUGCGAAGGCGGCUCUCUGGACUGUAACUGACGCUGAGGCUCGAAAGCGUGGGGAGCAAACAGG